UCAUCUCCGGGGGUAGAGCACUGUUUCGGCAAGGGGGUCAUCCCGACUUACCAACCCGAUGCAAACUGCGAAUACCGGAGAAUGUUAUCACGGGAGACACACGGCGGGUGCUAACGUCCGUCGUGAAGAGGGAAACAACCCAGACCGCCAGCUAAGGUCCCAAAGUCAUGGUUAAGUGGGAAACGAUGUGGGAAGGCCCAGACAGCCAGGAUGUUGGCUUAGAAGCAGCCAUCAUUUAAAGAAAGCGUAAUAGCUCACUGGUCGAGUCGGCCUGCGCGGAAGAUGUAACGGGGCUAAACCAUGCACCGAAGCUGCGGCAGCGACGCUGAUGCGUUGUUGGGUAGGGGAGCGUUCUGUAAGCCUGCGAAGGUGUGCUGUGAGGCAUGCUGGAGGUAUCAGAAGUGCGAAUGCUGACAUAAGUAACGAUAAAGCGGGUGAAAAGCCCGCUCGCCGGAAGACCAAGGGUUCCUGUCCAACGUUAAUCGGGGCAGGGUGAGUCGACCCCUAAGGCGAGGCCGAAAGGCGUAGUCGAUGGGAAACAGGUUAAUAUUCCUGUACUUGGUGUUACUGCGAAGGGGGGACGGAGAAGGCUAUGUUGGCCGGGCGACGGUUGUCCCGGUUUAAGCGUGUAGGCUGGUUUUCCAGGCAAAUCCGGAAAAUCAAGGCUGAGGCGUGAUGACGAGGCACUACGGUGCUGAAGCAACAAAUGCCCUGCUUCCAGGAAAAGCCUCUAAGCAUCAGGUAACAUCAAAUCGUACCCCAAACCGACACAGGUGGUCAGGUAGAGAAUACCAAGGCGCUUGAGAGAACUCGGGUGAAGGAACUAGGCAAAAUGGUGCCGUAACUUCGGGAGAAGGCACGCUGAUAUGUAGGUGAGGUCCCUCGCGGAUGGAGCUGAAAUCAGUCGAAGAUACCAGCUGGCUGCAACUGUUUAUUAAAAACACAGCACUGUGCAAACACGAAAGUGGACGUAUACGGUGUGACGCCUGCCCGGUGCCGGAAGGUUAAUUGAUGGGGUCAGCGCAAGCGAAGCUCUUGAUCGAAGCCCCGGUAAACGGCGGCCGUAACUAUAACGGUCCUAAGGUAGCGAAAUUCCUUGUCGGGUAAGUUCCGACCUGCACGAAUGGCGUAAUGAUGGCCAGGCUGUCUCCACCCGAGACUCAGUGAAAUUGAACUCGCUGUGAAGAUGCAGUGUACCCGCGGCAAGACGGAAAGACCCCGUGAACCUUUACUAUAGCUUGACACUGAACAUUGAGCCUUGAUGUGUAGGAUAGGUGGGAGGCUUUGAAGUGUGGACGCCAGUCUGCAUGGAGCCGACCUUGAAAUACCACCCUUUAAUGUUUGAUGUUCUAACGUUGACCCGUAAUCCGGGUUGCGGACAGUGUCUGGUGGGUAGUUUGACUGGGGCGGUCUCCUCCUAAAGAGUAACGGAGGAGCACGAAGGUUGGCUAAUCCUGGUCGGACAUCAGGAGGUUAGUGCAAUGGCAUAAGCCAGCUUGACUGCGAGCGUGACGGCGCGAGCAGGUGCGAAAGCAGGUCAUAGUGAUCCGGUGGUUCUGAAUGGAAGGGCCAUCGCUCAACGGAUAAAAGGUACUCCGGGGAUAACAGGCUGAUACCGCCCAAGAGUUCAUAUCGACGGCGGUGUUUGGCACCUCGAUGUCGGCUCAUCACAUCCUGGGGCUGAAGUAGGUCCCAAGGGUAUGGCUGUUCGCCAUUUAAAGUGGUACGCGAGCUGGGUUUAGAACGUCGUGAGACAGUUCGGUCCCUAUCUGCCGUGGGCGCUGGAGAACUGAGGGGGGCUGCUCCUAGUACGAGAGGACCGGAGUGGACGCAUCACUGGUGUUCGGGUUGUCAUGCCAAUGGCACUGCCCGGUAGCUAAAUGCGGAAGAGAUAAGUGCUGAAAGCAUCUAAGCACGAAACUUGCCCCGAGAUGAGUUCUCCCUGACCCUUUAAGGGUCCUGAAGGAACGUUGAAGACGACGACGUUGAUAGGCCGGGUGUGUAAGCGCAGCGAUGCGUUGAGCUAACCGGUACUAAUGAACCGUGAGGCUUAACCUU
rnacentral:rRNA from 1 species